AAUCUACCGGAUGCUCGACCUUUGGAGACUUACUCGCCUGUAGUAGAAGGAGUAAACGUAUUCUAUGGAGAAGAAAAAUCAAUAAGUUGGGGGUGUUUUAGGAAUGCUCAUGCAGAAGGCAGUCAUAGAUGAAGGAACCGCGCUACCUAUGGGGUAAAAAUGCGGGAAAAAUAAAGGGAUAAGAGAUCUACCGCACGGAUAAAGAUCCGUAGUAACAACAAUU
rnacentral:lncRNA from 1 species